CAAAUCCUCAACAUUAGAACCAGUUGGUUUAUUGUUGGCCAGCUCUUCAGCACAGUUGGAUUUGAUGCACAUCUCCAUUCAUACCAUGUCAUUCCCUCUGAGGAUACUGUAAUAUUUAAAGCUGGAGAGGAGGUGGAUUUUCAUAGUUUGGACUGCUACCACCUGUCAGACCAGCAUUUCAUCACACUAAUCCAUCGUCCCUUCAAACCAAUAAUGAAGUAGAUGGUCCAACGCUAUUAAAAAUGACUGAAAGAAUGAGUGAACGUCUCUUCCCAAAAAUCAAAGAACAGAUACAAUUUAUGUCUGCAUUGGAAGACCUGAAAUCCCACCGUGACCUCACUGAACAUGUAAUAUCACAGACCACUCCAGUGGUUCUGCACUCCAAUACUGAAGUACGGUAUCCUACAUUUCUAAUGAGUGCCCUUGAAAAGCAGGACCCGCAGCUGAAGUCUCCUACUAAGAAUAAAUAAAAAAAUGCAUUAACUCAAGCCCUAUUUGACCAUCUUAG
rnacentral:lncRNA from 1 species